rnacentral:rRNA from 1 species
CCUACGGGUGGCGGCAGUGGGGAAUAUUGGACAAUGGGGGCAACCCUGAUCCAGCCAUGCCGCGUGUGUGAAGAAGGCCCUCGGGUUGUAAAGCACUUUCAGUGAGGAAGAACGCCUGGUGGUUAAUACCCAUCAGGAAAGACAUCACUCACAGAAGAAGCACCGGCUAACUCCGUGCCAGCAGCCGCGGUAAUACGGAGGGUGCGAGCGUUAAUCGGAAUUACUGGGCGUAAAGCGCGCGUAGGUGGCUUGAUAAGCCGGUUGUGAAAGCCCCGGGCUCAACCUGGGAACGGCAUCCGGAACUGUCAAGCUAGAGUGCAGGAGAGGAAGGUAGAAUUCCCGGUGUAGCGGUGAAAUGCGUAGAGAUCGGGAGGAAUACCAGUGGCGAAGGCGGCCUUCUGGACUGACACUGACACUGAGGUGCGAAAGCGUGGGUAGCAAACAGGAUUAGAUACCCCUGUAGUC